CAAAGUGCUAUUCGUGCAGGUAG
rnacentral:miRNA from 1 species